UAACCCUGCGUACAACUGCUCUUAAACCGAGACCUAUAGGCAGUCUAAUACUUCGUCUCUCAUAUCCAUCAGUGAAGGGAUUGAUGGAAAUAUAAGUUUCG
ncrna:unclassified sequences PhotoRC-II RNA